rnacentral:lncRNA from 1 species
UGGGCACUUAAAGCAACCAUUUAUUGUAGAAUGAGUAAUGAAGGAAAAGGGUUCAAUAGCUAUCAUCAACUAGUAAGAUUGUGGACUUGGCCCUGCUGGGAUAAAUCAUGGUGAAUGCAUCAGAAAUGCUUUUAAUUUUCAGGAGACAGAAUAAUUUCUAAAUUCAUGGAGGAGAAAGAGACCUUAAUGAAAUUCUAACACACCUAUCUCUUCAUUGUCCACACCUGACACAACUGGUAAAUAUUAUAUUUUGUACUGAUUGAAUAGAUAAUAAUUUUCUCAUCUAAAUAUCUAUUCUUCUGAAAAUGUUGCAGUUGUUUAAUUUGUCAGAUUAGUAAAAUGCUCCUGUCCAAAUUUUUCUGCCUUAACUCCAAAUUUGAUCCAUAUGAUUAUUUACCAGUGUGACCU